rnacentral:rRNA from 1 species
UACGUAGGUGGCAAGCGUUGUCCGGAUUUACUGGGCGUAAAGAGCGCGCAGGCGGUCGUUCAAGUCGCGUGUGAAAGCCCCCGGCUCAACUGGGGAGGGUCACGCGAUACUGAUCGACUCGAAGGCAGGAGAGGGUAGUGGAAAUUCCCGGUGUAGUGGUGAAAUGCGUAGAUAUCGGGAGGAACACCGGUGGCGAAGGCGACAUCCUGGACCGGUAUUGACGCUGAGGCGCGAAAGCCAGGGGAGCAAACGGG